GGCUGGAUAGCUCAGUUGGUAGAGCAGCGGACUGAAAAUCCGCGUGUCGCCGGUUCGAUCCCGGCUCCAGCCA
rnacentral:tRNA from 1 species